AGGGAUGAGGCUCCGUUGGUGGAGUGCUUGCCUAGCAUGCAUGAAGCUCAGGGUUCCAUUCCCUGCAUUGCAU
rfam:Mesocricetus auratus contig133946, whole genome shotgun sequence.